CCUACGGGUGGCAGCAGUGAGGAAUAUUGGUCAAUGGGCGAGAGCCUGAACCAGCCAAGUCGCGUGAGGGAGUACUGCCCUAUGGGUUGUAAACCUCUUUUGUCGGGGAGCAAAAGCCGGACGUGUCCGGCUGUGAGAGUACCCGAAGAAAAAGCAUCGGCUAACUCCGUGCCAGCAGCCGCGGUAAUACGGAGGAUGCGAUCGUUAUCCGGAUUUAUUGGGUUUAAAGGGUGCGCAGGCGGAUUUUUAAGUCAGCGGUAAAAUCGUGGGGCUCAACCCCAUCCAGCCGUUGAAACUGGGGAUCUAGAGUGUGCGAGAGGUAUGCGGAAUGCGUGGUGUAGCGGUGAAAUGCAUAGAUAUCACGCAGAACCCCGAUUGCGAAGGCAGCAUACCGGUGCACAACUGACGCUCAGGCACGAAAGCGUGGGUAUCGAACAGGAUUAGAUACCCGUGUAGUC
rnacentral:rRNA from 1 species